rnacentral:rRNA from 1 species
UACGUAGGGUGCAAGCGUUGUCCGGAAUUAUUGGGCGUAAAGAGCUCGUAGGCGGUCUGUCGCGUCGGACGUGAAAACCCAGGGCUCAACCCUGGGCCUGCGUUCGAUACGGGCAGACUAGAGUUCGGUAGGGGAGUCUGGAAUUCCUGGUGUAGCGGUGAAAUGCGCAGAUAUCAGGAGGAACACCGGUGGCGAAGGCGGGACUCUGGGCCGAUACUGACGCUGAGGAGCGAAAGCGUGGGGAGCAAACAGG